rnacentral:lncRNA from 1 species
AGGCAGAGGGCCUCCUUACAAAGAGGCCCGUAUUUCCUGCAGUGGGACGACUCACACAGCUGCACACUGGACUGAGGACCUGAGAGUCACAGAACUUCAGAGAUGUUUACAUAUUCAGUCAAGGCAGGUCUGCCACGCUGCUAAGGUCGUUGCCCUGGCUGGGGAAACACGGCCCCCAAGCAUGGGAUGGGGACAUCCGGCUGGAAGAUGUCUGAGGAUCCUGGCUCUGCAAGACGCCCCUAAUCCCUCAGAACUUGCAGAAGUGGCCCUGUCCCUCUGCCGAAACAGACCGCAGGGGCCUCCAUCCUGCAAGACAAGGCGUCCCCCUCAGGAGCUGCCAGGCUGAGAACUGGGGCUCCAUCCGCACAUCAUAUGGCUGCACACAGACGGCACCUGAUCACGGAGGAAACUGACUAUAUUCCAAAGGAGUUGCCAGAACUAGCCAGCGUGUUCCAGCAGGAGCUAGGAGAGUAUCUCUGGGUUUGAAUUUCGAGAGGCUUGGUCAAGGGGCCUAGAACAUGAGAUUGGAAAAGCAAGAACUCCUCUGUUUGGAGCACUUUACGGGACUUAACACCCCAGCGAGGCCUCCGGGGCGGGGGUGGGGGGUGGGUGGCAAACUUCUGCUGAGGUGGCUCUCAGAAGCCAGGAAGCGCCGUAGCCAACGCUGAGGGAGGUGAAAAUGCCUGAGUCGCCCCAACAGAUGGUCCAGGAAGGAAUGAAGAGCCUGAGGGGAAUGGUCAUGCUGGAAAUGGCUGCACCAGUUUGUGUGGAAAGCAUAUCUGAUAUGAGGCCAGAAGACCCACCAGAGGUGUUCCAGGGAGGGCCCUGGGAUUACACUGAAGGCAUCAGGAUGCACUGGUGAGAAGCAGCCAGCAUCACCAGGAAGAUCAGGGGUGGUUUUCCUCCACAGCCCAGGGCUGAUGGUAAAAGGGAUGGUCAGAGCCAGGCUCAUUAAUAUUCAUUUCCCACCCCAUGAGGUAAUAGAGGCCAGGUAGCAGUACAUGACCACCAGAAACCGGGAGGCUGCAAUGACUGUGAUGAGCAGCAAGAUGCGAGAAGAGACCAGCAAGGAAUUGUGGAGAUGGUCAUUAGAGUGUGGGCACCCAGUAGCGGUGCAGCUUAACAUCCACAACAAGCAAGAGGUAAGAAUGGAAGAGCGGAAAGCCAAGGGACGUUGACCAAAGAAAGUCAUGACCCUUUCCUCAAUUCCUGAACCAGAGUCUCUUUCAGAUCCGGAACCCCUUAACUGAAGGGUAGCCAUGUCGCUAGGGAGAAGGAUCCGGAAACACCACAGCAAAUGUGUACUGUAAUGACUCCCCCAGUCCUUCCUUAAAGAGACGCAUGGCC